rnacentral:rRNA from 1 species
CCUACGGGUGGCAGCAGUAGGGAAUCUUUCACAAUGGGCGAAAGCCUGAUGGAGCAACGCCGCGUGCAGGAUGAAGGCCUUCGGGUUGUAAACUGCUUUUAUAAGCGAGAAAUAUGAUGGUAACUUAUGAAUAAGGAUCGGCUAACUACGUGCCAGCAGCCGCGGUCAUACGUAGGAUCCGAGCAUUAUCCGGAGUGACUGGGUGUAAAGAGUUGCGUAGGUGGCAUAAUAAGUAGCUAGUGAAAUCUGGUGGCUCAACCAUUCAGAUUAUUAGCUAAACUGUUAAGCUCGAGACCGUUAGGGGUAACUGGAAUUUCUAGUGUAGGAGUGAAAUGCGUAGAUAUUAGAAGGAACACCAAUAGCGUAGGCAGGUUACUGGGACGGUUCUGACACUAAGGCACGAAAGCGUAGGGAGCAAACGGGAUUAGAUACCCCAGUAGUC